rnacentral:rRNA from 1 species
UACGAAGGGGGCUAGCGUUGUUCGGAAUUACUGGGCGUAAAGCGCGCGCAGGCGGUUUUUCAAGUCAGUGGUGAAAGCCCGGAGCUCAACUCCGGAACUGCCAUUGAAACUGUAAAACUUGAGGAUGAGAGAGGUGAGUGGAAUUCCCAGUGUAGAGGUGGAAUUCGUAGAUAUUGGGAAGAACACCGGUGGCGAAGGCGGCUCACUGGCUCAUAUCUGACGCUCAGGCGCGACAGCGUGGGGAUCAAACAGG